GAUGAACGCUGGCGGCGUGCCUAACACAUGCAAGUCGAGCGAGAUUUAUGUGAGUGGAGACUUCGGUCAAAGCAAUCAUAAUGAAAGCGGCGGACGGGUGAGUAACGCGUGAGCAAUCUGCCCCAUACAAAGGGAUACCCACUGGAAACGGUGAUUAAUACCUUAUAAGACCACGAAGUCGCAUGGCUACGAGGUCAAAGAUUUAUCGGUAUGGGAUGAGCUCGCGUCUGAUUAGCUAGUUGGUGAGGUAAUGGCUCACCAAGGCGACGAUCAGUAGCCGACCUGAGAGGGUGAACGGCCACACUGGAACUGAGACACGGUCCAGACUCCUACGGGAGGCAGCAGUGGGGAAUAUUGCACAAUGGGCGCAAGCCUGAUGCAGCAACGCCGCGUGAAUGAUGAAGGCCUUCGGGUCGUAAAGUUCUGUCCAAAGGGAAGAAUACAGUGACGGUACCUUUGGAGGAAGCCCCGGCUAACUACGUG
rnacentral:rRNA from 1 species